AUAGUGCCUGUGAUGGCUUUAAAUAUACUAUGAGUAACCACAAAGAUUAAAAUUUUAUCUGAGGCACAAA